UACGGAGGAUGCAAGCGUUAUCCGGAAUGAUUGGGCGUAAAGCGUCCGCAGGUGGCUAUGUAAGUCUGCUGUUAAAGAGUGAGGCUCAACCUCAUAAGAGCAGUGGAAACUACAUGGCUAGAGUGCGUUCGGGGCAGAGGGAAUUCCUGGUGUAGCGGUGAAAUGCGUAGAUAUCAGGAAGAACACCGGUGGCGAAAGCGCUCUGCUAGGCCGCAACUGACACUGAGGGACGAAAGCUAGGG
rnacentral:rRNA from 1 species